AUGUAUAUACAGGACUUACAAAAAUUUUAGUAUGGUUAGUUUAUCGGGGUUCAUUAUAAAUCCUAGUCUAGCUAGAAUUAUAUUCCAAUUAUUUUUUAUUUGAAUAUUAUCCUGGUUACUUAUUCUUGUAUUAUUCUUAGUCUUCUUUUCUAAUAUUAUUCUAUUUGGAGUAAGAUGGACUUCAUUUCGAGUUAGGAGAGCCCUGGACAUGAAGUAGGACCAGUUGAGUUACGGCAACGAGCAAUGCUACAAUAG
rnacentral:lncRNA from 1 species